rnacentral:rRNA from 2 species
AGCAUAGCGAUUUGGGAUAAGUCCCUUGGAAGAGGGCAGCAUGGAGGGUGAUACUCCCGUCUCUGCACAGGUUGUCUGUGUGUACGAUAUGCUUUCUUUGAGUCGAGUUGUUUGGGAAUACAGCUCAAAGCAGGUGGUAAAUUCCAUCUAAAGCUAAAUAUUGGUGCGAGACCGAUAGCGAACAAGUACCGUGAGGGAAAGAUGAAAAGAACUUUGAAAAGAGAGUUAAAGAGUACCUGAAACUGUUGAAAGGGAACCGUAUCGUUUCUAGUGUGUAUCCUAUGCAUAUUUCAUUGGCGGUUGUAAAAUUGCUGGUGCCCUGUGUAUGGGUGUGACGUCAGAGUCAGUUUGAAUUGCGGGAGAUGGGUAGUGAGGAGGUGCGUCACUUCUUGUGAAAGUUACAGCUCGCUAUCUAGUAGCCGUGGUUGAGACUGAGGUGCC